AUUGAACGCUGGCGGCAGGCCUAACACAUGCAAGUCGAGCGGAUGAAGGGAGCUUGCUCCUGGAUUCAGCGGCGGACGGGUGAGUAAUGCCUAGGAAUCUGCCUGGUAGUGGGGGAUAACGUCCGGAAACGGGCGCUAAUACCGCAUACGUCCUGAGGGAGAAAGUGGGGGAUCUUCGGACCUCACGCUAUCAGAUGAGCCUAGGUCGGAUUAGCUAGUUGGUGGGGUAAAGGCCUACCAAGGCGACGAUCCGUAACUGGUCUGAGAGGAUGAUCAGUCACACUGGAACUGAGAAACGGUCCAGACUCCUACGGGAGGCAGCAGUGGGGAAUAUUGGACAAUGGGCGAAAGCCUGAUCCAGCCAUGCCGCGUGUGUGAAGAAGGUCUUCGGAUUGUAAAGCACUUUAAGUUGGGAGGAGGGGCAGUAAGUUAAUACCUUGCUGUUUUGACGUUACCAACAGAAUAAGCACCGGCUAACUUCGUG
rnacentral:rRNA from 1 species